CAGUCGCCGCGGGAAUACGAAGGGGGCUAGCGUUGUUCGGAUUUACUGGGCGUAAAGCGCACGUAGGCGUAUCGAUCAGUCAGGGGUGAAAUCCCAGAGCUCAACUCUGGAACUGCCUUUGAUACUGUCGAUCUGGAGUAUGGAAGAGGUGAGUGGAAUUCCGAGUGUAGAGGUGGAAUUCGUAGAUAUUAGCUAGAACACCAGUGGCGAAGGCGGCCAACUGGUCCGACACUGACGCUGAGGUGCGAAAGCGUGGGGAGCAAACAGGAUUAGAUACCCCAGUAGUCCCUGUCUCUUAUAC
rnacentral:rRNA from 1 species